rnacentral:rRNA from 1 species
UACGGAGGGUGCGAGCGUUGUCCGGAAUCACUGGGCGUAAAGGCGCGUAGGCGGCUCGAUAAGGCUGUGGUGAAAGCCCGGGGCUCAACCCCGGGUCGGCCGUGGCGACUGUUGGGCUGGAGCACUGUAGAGGCGGGCGGAAUUCCGGGUGUAGCGGUGGAAUGCGUAGAGAUCCGGAAGAACACCGGUGGCGAAGGUGGCCCGCUGGGCAGGAAGGUGAGGAAGCAAUCCGUCGCCGGCUGGACGCUGAGG